rnacentral:rRNA from 1 species
AGUGAACGCUGGCGGUAGGCCUAACACAUGCAAGUCGAACGGCAGCACAGAGGAGCUUGCUCCUUGGGUGGCGAGUGGCGGACGGGUGAGGAAUACAUCGGAAUCUACUUUUUCGUGGGGGAUAACGUAGGGAAACUUACGCUAAUACCGCAUACGACCUACGGGUGAAAGCAGGGGAUCUUCGGACCUUGCGCGAUUGAAUGAGCCGAUGUCGGAUUAGCUAGUUGGCGGGGUAAAGGCCCACCAAGGCGACGAUCCGUAGCUGGUCUGGAAGGAUGAUCAGCCACACUGGAACUGAGACACGGUCCAGACUCCUACGGGAGGCAGCAGUGGGGAAUAUUGGACAAUGGGCGCAAGCCUGAUCCAGCCAUACCGCGUGGGUGAAGAAGGCCUUCGGGUUGUAAAGCCCUUUUGUUGGGAAAGAAAUCCAGCCGGCUAAUACCUGGUUGGGAUGACGGUACCCAAAGAAUAAGCACCGGCUAACUUCGUGCCAGCAGCCGCAGUAACAC